AUACGGAGGGUGCAAGCGUUAAUCGGAAUUACUGGGCGUAAAGCGCGCGUAGGCGGUUUGAUAAGUCGGAUGUGAAAUCCCCGGGCUCAACCUGGGAAUUGCAUUCGAUACUGUCAGGCUAGAGUGUGGUAGAGGGAAGUAGAAUUUCCGGUGUAGCGGUGAAAUGCGUAGAUAUCAGAAGGAACACCAGUGGCGAAGGCGGCUUCCUGGACCAACACUGACGCUGAGGUGCGAAAGCGUGGGGAGCAAACAGGAUUAGAAACCCCAGUAGUCC
rnacentral:rRNA from 1 species